CACUGACAUUAGAUACCCGUGUAGUCCAGGGUGUAAACGCUGCAGACUUGGUGUUGGGGGCCCUUUGGGGGCAUUCAGUGCCGGAGAGAAGUUGUUAAGUCUGCUACUUGGGAGUACGUCCGCAAGGAUGAAACUUAAAGGAAUUGGCGGGGGAACACCGCAACGGGAGGAGCGUGCGGUUUAAUUGGAUUCAACACCGUAAAACUCACCAGGGAAGACUGUUACAUGAAGGCCGAGAUGAAGACUCUGCUAGAUUUUUCAG
rnacentral:rRNA from 1 species